rnacentral:rRNA from 1 species
UGCCUACGGGGGGCAGCAGUGAGGAAUAUUGGUCAAUGGGCGCGAGCCUGAACCAGCCAAGUCGCGUGAGGGAGGACGGCCCUACGGGUUGUAAACCUCUUUUGCCGGGGAGCAACGGGCGUCACGUGUGGCGCCACUGAGAGUACCCGGAGAAAAAGCAUCGGCUAACUCCGUGCCAGCAGCCGCGGUAAUACGGAGGAUGCGAGCGUUAUCCGGAUUUAUUGGGUUUAAAGGGUGCGCAGGCGGGAGAUCAAGUCAGCGGUAAAAUGUCGGGGCUCAACCCCGGCCGGCCGU